rnacentral:lncRNA from 1 species
CCCCCCUCGGCCGCCGGUUUGGGAUCUCCCUGCUUCCCCCCCACCCCCCUCCGCCGAAAGAUCCCACAUAAUAUAGCGGUAAAGUCCCGCUCCCUCUCUCCUCUCCCUCUCGGAGUUUUCCCCCCUUUCUUUCUCUCUCUCUCUCUCUCUCCCCCCCCCCCCCCCUUUUUUUUUUUUUUUUAAUAAUAUUAUUCUAAGCUGGCAUGAAAAGUGAUUAUCCGCGCUGUGAUUGGUCCGGUUAUCUGACCCGGGGACUGCCAGGAGAAGACAAUAGUUUUAGUCAAAUUAUUUGCCAUGGUGACGCUGUCAAUCAGGGGUAACCCGAUCUGUUUUGAGGUGGCUCCCCGGCUGGGUUGACAGAUUGCUCAGAUCCACUCCGAGGCGGCCCCGCGAGCUGAGAUAUUGGCUGGCGAGGGAGAAACCGCCGCCGGGAUUGGCGCUGCGGGCGCCCGUCGGGAGCGGGCAGCGGAGAGCGCUGAGCCGCCGUCGGGGCCCGCAGCCCGGGCUCUGCUCGGCCCGGCGGCUGCGUUGGGGACGAACAGCCGGGCGGGCCCUCGCUGAAAGUUUCUUUCUAAAUGCACUUAACACCCUUCCAGACGCCCAGCGACAACUGUCGCGAUGGGCUUUAUAGGGAAGGGGCCUCUAGGGUACAAUAGGAACCCUGUUCGCCACUGGAGUAUCGUCACAGAGCGGCACUACCUGCCCGCCGGGCCCCAGUCAGGCAUGGCCGCAGCCGAGCGCAGCCCCGCUGACCGCAGCCCGACCGCCCCUUUAGGUGCGCCUUUUCGGCCGCCGAGCUUUUAUUUCUGCUUCGUUUUCAGCAGCGUGCCGGGCUGUUUCCAGCCAGGGGCACGGGGAAAAGUUAGAGGCGCUUCGCGUGGCGAAGCUGUCCCGCAUCGCCCACGCGUGCCCUACGCACGGCGAUUUUAAUUCAGCGUCUGUGCGGGGAGGGGAGGACCUUCGCCUCUUCCAGUCGCUCUCGGGGCACGUAACGAACGCGGAUGAGCUUAUGCGGGCCGAACGGGAGUGGAGCGACCAGGCAGGGGUCCCCGAGGUGUCUGCGGACCUCUCGGUCGUACGGGAGCUGGAAGUCCCAGCUUCGGGCACUCGAGAGGAACCUCUCUAUCCCAAAGGUAGGGCGUUUCUCAUCCCCCUUAAUGCUUCAGUUCUGGGGAAGAAACGAUAAGAAUAACGAAACCGAGCCCUACGCCAUUUACAACCCCAACUGGAGGGCUGUCCGCAGCUGUGGGUUCCCGACAAGAAAUCUUUUUGACACCGCCCAGCUGCACCCCCGAGCUCGAGGGGCUCACGAAGCAGCAGGAAGCGGCUCCCCUCCGCGCAGCCGGGCCCCCGCGGCGGGAGCCGGGCCGGGCACAGCUGCUCCCCCAGGGAGACGAGGGAGGGCGGCGGCGGCGCGGCGCGGCCCGGACGCUCCCGGCGGCUGCCGGCCCGGAGCAGCGCCAGUGUGAAGGGCGGCGAGGGGGAGGCAGGAGGAGAGGGGUGGGGGAGCGAAUCUGCCUCCUCCAGCCCCGCCGCAUCCGGGACGCUGUGCGGCUGGGUUCGCUUGGGUGAGCUCCGCUUUGGAAACCGCACGCCCUCCUACCUGCCCGACACGCUCCCGGGGGUUGCUGUGCAGAACCGUGCGAGGCUCGGCCCGGGAAGCGGAGCCGAGGGAGGCCGUCUCUGCAGGGCACGGGGGAGACGCAGUGCAAAUUCGUUUCAAACGAAUUCGGGAGUGUCGGUGGCUGCUCAGCAUUGCCUCUUCUCAUGGGUCUCCCUCCGCAUCCCAUAGACAAAAAGCGGUCCGGGUCUCGGCGCCGGCCGACUUCAGCAGGGCUUAAACAGUGCUCGUUCGUAAGCGAACGCGACCUGAGCUCCGCGCUCCCCACCCGGCCGGGAAUUGCUCGCAGCUGCGGGAGAAUUGACCCCCUCGGAGCGUUCCCCCGAGCACACACUGAGAGGGGAGCUCCCAGCCCGACCCCCGCGCUCCCAUCAGGAGCGAUUCGGGAAGGAGAACGCGGAGCCGUCCAGCUCCGUCCCGCGACCGGGACCGUGGCAAAGACAAAAGAGCUCCCGGGGCCCGGACUGCCCCCCCGCUGCCGCCGUGCUCUGUCGCUGCGCGUGUAUAGGGGGUAUACCUGACUCCGCUUCCUCUCCUUCCAUUCCAUAACCACAGCACUUGAAUCUGAACGGGAGCAGCUGUUCGCCCUAGCUAGAAGGGAGCCGGCAAAACCUGUUGCACGGAUCUAGAGCUGAGAAAGUCUCUUCUUAGCUUCCUCCACGUGAGUACGGACCCUACACCAACCGCUUCGCAGGCGCUGCCGUUGCGGGCUGCGCCUCCGGCAUCGCUCCCGCACGUCCCGCAGGCCGGGUAGGGCGAGGCCGUCCCUUCCCCACGCCGCGCAGCAGAGAGGUGGCAAAUCGGUGACAUCUGGCCCCGAAUGCUGUGGAACCUCUUUUAACGUUCGGGAAGGAAAAAAUCUUCCUGAACGUGUUAGGAAGGGGAGUAAAGCCCUGCCUGACUGCAAAGCCACGACGCGGGGCGAGGCCGGUUGUAGAGCCUUGCGAGGGAACGAAACGACCGGGCGAGGAGCUUUUCGGUGUGGACGAAAGGGCUCUUUCGCCGCAAUCGUACCCCGGGGUGAGUGACCGGAGCCGCCUGCUAACCGCGUCCUCACCCCGAGGGAACUUUCCGCCGGGUCGCUGUCAGCUCUCCCCGUGCAGCCGCACUCAAAGGCUCUCCCCGGGCUGAGCGAGACUCGUGCUGGGCACAGGAGCCCCAGCUUCUUCCCGGGCCCGUUCCCGUCCCCGUCCCCAUACCCGGCCCCGGCCACGCUCCCUGCCCGAGUGUGACUUCGCCGGAGCGUGCAGGACAGGCGGUGUCAGUGCGAGUCUUUGUGAAAUCUAAGCGAAAUAAACCAAAAAGCCGUUUUUCUCGUAACGCUCCUUUUAUUGAGCAGGGAGCAGUAGAGCUGAGGGGAGGGAGGGACGCCCGAGCGUGUCUCUUCCAGGAGCCUCUCGCUGCACGUAACCGGUUUGUGUCCGUACGUGAGUGCCAAUACAACGCCGAAGUUAUGUGACAGUCGCCCUCCCGGCCGUGCCUCCCCCCAGCCCGCAGCCACCCGCAGGCCGCAGAUCUGCACUGCGCCCUUGGCAGAUGAUGCGCCUUCUCGCGGACAGCCUCAUCCCUCCUGCGGCCCUUCAGCCACCCGAGGCGAAGGGCGCAGAGGGGCUCUCGGGGCUGGUAGAGUAAAAUGCUGAACCCCGAGGUGUUCCUAUUGCCAGGAUGAAACACAUCUUCCUCACACACGUCCUUUACCGUGGUGAGGACUGUAGAGAGAGCAAGCAAGUGACAAACGGCUCCAACUUAGCGUUUAUUUUUUCCUUUCCUUUCCUUUCCUUUCCUUUCCUUUCCUUUCCUUUCCUUUCCUUUCCUUUCCUUUCCUUUCCUUUCCUUUCCAUCAUGACACAAUAUGCAUUUCCUUCUAAAUCAGGGUGCUCUAACUUGGGUGAAAGCCUGCUUCUCUAUCUCGCUUUUCCUUGGAUCACAACGACCCUUAGGAGCAGCCUGCGUGUCCCCCCCGAGCACCCCCCGGCCUGCCCGCGUCUGCCUCCACCGUGCCCCGACCCACGGCCAUGGCACAGCGUGGAGCCCGGAGGCAUUUCGCAGCCGGGAGCCUCGGGUUCUCUCUCCGGCUUAUUUAUUCACGUUAUAUAUUUAUUUCGGCGUUUUAUUCCGAAACAAACCGGAGUCUGUCCCAUCACAGAUGGCCGGAGACGGACUGAGAUCCCGCCCCGGCCGAAAAUGAAAACACGACGGAGGAUCACCGCGAAUAACUCAAUUAAGACUAACAACAAUGGCUUGUUGUUCUGUGAUUUGGGGCGAAAGGACUCACUGAAAGCUGCCUGAGCGCGCUGUUCCUCGGGGGGAUCCGCCGAGGAUUCUAGAUCUGCAGAGGGGCACUCGGUUAUGCCAUCAAACCCGCUCGAAAGAAAGCUCCGGGGGCGGCGAGGUGCUGAGAGAGGGGGGCCCAGGCACGGCCCCACUUCCCGGCCGAGGAACGCGCUCCCUCCCAUUGCCUCCGUUAAUGCGACCCUUCCUCGUUACCUUCUGUGAAGGUAUCCCCUCUCAGCCUUGGGCGCUGGGCUCAGGAUUUUCACUUCCUCCUACCAGCAGCACCCCGACCCACAGUGCCAACGCUUAUUUAGGGAUCCCCGUCUCACAGCCAGGCUCGGGUCCCGCGGAGAAGGGACACCGUUUGGGAGCGGCCCGGGGACAGGGGACGUGGCCCCGUAUCCCCUGGGCCGCGCAGCGCCUCGGAUGCUCCUCGGCACGGGGGGACCCUCGGCAAAGGCAGCGCGCAGCUCGCAGACAAGACAACAACAGCAGCAGGCACAUAUGGUUAAAAUAAGGAGAGCCUUCCGCCUCAGGGGAUUGGCAUUAACUAGCCAGAAAUGCGGGGCACUGCAUCCAAAGUUCUGGUGGGCUUCUGCGGGAUUGACAACUGAAAUCACGCUACAAGCAUCACUUUGACAAUAUUUGUAAACUUCGUGUUUCCCGGGAUCUUCUUGAUCAGAGGUAUACGAGGCUGGUAUGAGCUCAAGCCACGAAGGUCUCUCUUUUUUUUUUCUUUCUUUUUUUUUCCUUCCUCCUCCUUUUCCCUCUUCCGAGUUGAUGAAUAGCGAUCAGGUUUCUUUUAAUGGCUGCCCCCUAUUCUCACAGCCUCCCACAACUAACCCGAGAGCCGGUUUCCUCGACCUCAGUUAAUUCCACUGAUUAUUCCAAGAUGAUGAGGAAAGCACGAAGAUUGUCCACUGCUCCUACCGAUUCCAGGCGUUUUUGUUACCGUCUCCAUCCUCGGCUCACGGGGAUUUAACCGGGCCGUAUUUUUAGGAUCGGGCUGCCCUUCCCCUUCUGCUCCCUUCUCAGCUGACAUCCUCCUGCUCUUGGCUCACUGCUCGGUCGCGGCGCGACCCUCGGGCUGGGGCGGUGGUUGGGGUGUUCCUGGGCGGGGGUCUGGGGUUGCCCAAAGGGAAGCAAACCUCGGGCCGCCCCCCGUCUCGCCAAGGGGAUUUUCGGCCCCCCCUCAGAAAUGAAACCGGCCCCCGGCCGCGGGCUGCGUGGAGGCCGUCCGGGAGGACCGCGGGGGUAGAUCCACUCCGAGAAGUCUCACUAGAGGGCUCUGAUACUCAGCUCCGGCCGCUGCUCGGUGAACGCAAGAGCGGCUCCGUUCUCACUGUCCCUCAGCCUCCCGGGUGCAGCCCGACAGCUCUCCCCCGCGCCGCCGAAGGUGCUCCCGCGUGGUGUCACCACCGCGGUGUCCACUCUCCUCUGGGUCCAUCCCAUGGCAAAAGCGAGGAGAGCGGCCCCCAAAGCAGCCCGAGCUCCCACUUCGCUCCCUCGACGCAUUUAUCCUUGUCAAGAAUCAGGGAGCGAGCGGUAUUUACAGACAGGUAACAUUUCUUUUUCUCACUAGAAGGAGGACCUUGCGUAAGUUCUUCCACGGUCUACUGAGCACAGUGUGCCCAUAAAUACAGCUACCAUUUAAUUCUGCAGGGCUGAGGCAAGCUGAAAUGCAAUGCAGCGUUAGCAAGCAGUGGACACGGAUAUGUGAAUGUCAAAGACCAGGAACCAAAUCACAGGGAAUCUGUUUCCACUAGGGAUUUUUGUUUUUCCAUUUUAAACAACUUCUAUCAUUUGCUGUUGAGAACAAAUAAAACCAAACCAGCCUCUAUCAAUGAGAUCCAAGGCGGUUCUUAUGUGCAAGGGAAACUUCGUAAAAUGUUCCAAUGCGUUCAAUUUGUUUCAACUCCCAAGAAUGUUGUAACAAGCAAUUACAGAAAUUAGGAAGUGCAAUUUGGUUUGUUUGCUGUAUUUUGCAAUUCUCCCAGAAGCUUUGUAUACAGAUCAAAACUGCAGCAUAAAAGCUUUGUGGAAAGUUGGAUAGUUUAGAUAAUUUAACAACAGUUUAAAGCCAAUCCAUUUUCCAGUGGAAAAUUUGCUACUUCUAAACUUGAGAAAAUGUUUUGUAUUUGAGUCUUGGAUUGUUUGGCCUCCUCUUUCCUGGAUUAAUCUGGAUUAAUUCAGUCUCUGUCCUUUGGUUUCUUCUCCCCUUUAUUUCAUAGGUUCUUGAAUAGUUCAAGUGCACCGUGGACCUCUUAAUUCCCAGAAAAGCUCUGUGAUUUAAACAGACUUGGCGUCCCAUUUCAUUCCUUUCUUUCUUCUUUUUUUCUUUUCUAAUCAUCAGUUUGAUCUUCAUUACAAACAGAGACUUUAAGACUAGUCAAAUAGUGACUUUGUUGAUUAUUCAAGAUGCAGAACAGGCCAGCCCAGUGAACACGGAGUUAUUUUCAGGCAGUUAAGCCACUAAAGCAGGAAAAUCUAAGGCUCUAUAAGUUGCUGGUUAAGGAAAUGUCUGCUUGUGAGGCACCAUUCCCACUGCUGUUUUCUUCAAUAGUUCCAUCAUGUGUGUGUGGUAUGUAGUGCUAUGCUUUCCAUUGGAAGAUGCCAGCCCUGUUUUACUCAGCAACAGAACGUAGUUUAAAUAUGUGUGCAAGAAUGGACUUAACUGAGUCCCACCUUACUGAUACUCCAUGGUUCUUCAUUCUUUUAACACAGUUUAAUCAUCACUUCAGCAAUUUCCAGUAGUUCCCUUCAUUCUCUCCAUAAGUUGCAGAGGAAACCCAGACAACUGAUGCAGGGCUAAAGAUUCCCUUGACUCCCAGAGAGCUAUAAAGUGGGAUUCUUCUGUAACCACCUCUUACUGCUGGUCUGUCUGUUACAUUCUACAGUUAGUAAACAAGUAGGAAAAUAUUUGUUACAAGGUGUGUGUACACACACACAUAUAUAUAUAUGUUUGCAUAUAUAUAUAUAUACAUAUAACAGUUUUAAUUAAGUUUUGUUUAAUUUUACUUUAGGUUAAAACUGAGACCAUCUUUUCUCUAAACCUAAACAUUAGGAGAACUACAUGACAGCAGUAUAAGUCAAUAAAUGUUAAUUUAAAUUAUUCAUUUCAGCCACACAAGAAGAGCUUAAGGAUCAGGUUAUGAGAUGAGCUGGACAAAGUCCACAAAUAAUUUUACAGAAAAAAAUGAUUUCUUAUCUUUUCUUUCUUUCCUUUUUUCUUUUUUUGUCUGAUCAGCAUUUUGAAUCAAGUAUAGUGAUGGAGGAAGGUGUUGCCUCUGUGUUUGUUUUCAAGUGAAAGAAGGUUGGCAGCAGCAUUUGGAACACAUGGCAUAAGUCUGGGAACUGGGCCUUACAGCCAUCGUAAAGAAGUGAGCUUCAGCUUCCAAGAAGAGAAGAAAGCAGAGAGAUAUAAUUGGGCAUUUCAAUCUCAUCUGACCAAAGCCUUCAUGUGGAAGAGGAAUCUGCCUGUCAAAGAAAUUGGAGAGCUUCUCUGGAUCCCAUUUCCAUCCAAUCAAAGAUGCUUUGUAUUCACCAUCGUUAAUCGUACGAUUUGCAUUUGUGUAGAAAGUAAUAGAGGAAAUAUCCCAAGUUCAUUACCAAAAGGUAAUGAAGAGCAUCCCCAAAAAUUUGUGUGAUCUGGAUUGGAAUUCUGAAGCAGUUGAUACAAUCAGGGAAAAACAGAAGGAUUUGGCAGGAAAGAACAAGGAGAAUGGGGUUUAUGGAAGAAGAAGUUUGAAGUCUUCCAACUUCACUCAAGAAGUGUUAGUUCACUCAGUUAGGAAACUGGCACACUGACUGGCCAUCCAGGAUGGGACAGAUCUUGUCAGUAUCAGAGGAGUAAUAUUUUCACAAGGAUGAACUGCCACUGAAUGAUACAGAAACACUUUUAUCUUCAAUAUCAUGCAGAGCACUCUAAAAGCAUCAAAAAAGUGCAAGAUCUUGUUCCUGGCAUAUAUUUCCUUUGGGCUAAUCUUUCAAGACUCCAAAAGGUGUUGAGAUACGGUUGAUGUUAUGCAACCUUCAACACUAAAGCAGAUGUACAUCGUUCCUCCUUUGAGAAGUCUUAUUUUGAUCUCUGGAGACCCAUAUAGUGGUCCUCGCUAAAUCAUUUUGAGCAGAAGGGGAAUGUGCCCAGAGCAUUAUAGAAGCAGCAAUCUGUAGAUGGAAGUUAUAUGUGGAGUUUGAUGAAGCUGGCACUUUUCCUCCUGUAUGUUAAAUAAACAAGAAGUUACUGUGUAGUGUGUGAUGAUGCAGGCUGAUACUCUGCUGCUGAAUAAAACAAUGACAUGCUAAGACUCAGACUAUUUCCUUGUAUAGUCCUCAAAAAAUAGGAUUUUUUGUUUCUGAUACAUCUGAAAAUUCACAGGCAAAUAUGCAACUAAUCAAACCUCGCAGAGAUGCUAACACCCAGAUGUGUGUGUUUCUGUGUGGAAGCAAUCUAUGGCUAAUAGUAACAGAACUCUUGGAUAGAGAAAUCCUGUAAAAAUACAGAUUAGGCAUACAUAAGUUAAAUAUGUCUAACUAGUGUGCCAAGAAUUUAUAGUUUUAUGAAAUCUGUAUUAUGUAAAGAUCUUUCAAUAUUUCCUUCUAAAAAGUUUUCAUUAAUAUACAAAAAGGAGGAUAUGGAUUUCCAUAAUAAGCAGAAGAACCUUCCCAUUUCAUGUACAAUAAAUGAAAAUAACCACAUGACCUUGAUUCCUUGGCUUCCCUCUCUCUCCAGAUCUCCAUUAGAAGUUAGUACUUGAGUAAUCCAAUCUUUUAAUAAUAAGCUAUAAAAUAAAACCGUGCAAUUUAGCAAUAAUAAUGAAUGGUAAGUUUGCAUGUUGGCUGGAACUUCUGAGUGAGACUGUCCAACAUUCACUGUGCUAAAAGUCUAACAGUACUGAGUUUGACCAUUGGGAUUGACACCCUAGAUUCGCAACAGAGAUGGGAAGGAGUGCAAAUGCAGAUCUGAAUUUUGUAUUUUAAAUAUGGAAGUAUCUAUAUCUGAGGAGAGCCUUGUCUUGUUCAUCUUGAUACACUUCAGUAAAUUAUGAGGAGCUACUUUAAAAUGAAGAAAAGACAGAGGAGGUAAAAAUCAGAGAAAAUUCAGAGCUGAAAUCGAGAGUUAAUACUUGCAGGAAUUCAAGCCAGUAUUCCUUACAAAACUUCCCUUUGACUUCUCAUCCAGGGGAAAGAAAAGGAAAAAUUUAUCUGUGUGUACCUCUAUAUCUUGUAAUAUAUCUUAUAAUAAUCCAAGUUCACUUCAUGGACAUGGAUUUUGACUCUGGCUCAUAGUGGUGACAUCAUGUCUCAUCACUAGUAAUGAUGUGAUCCAGGAAACUGGAUGAAGUAAACUGCUACCUUCAGCCUUGUAUUGGUUCAAUAGGUCUUACAUAUCAAUAGGUCUUACAUAUCAAACUUACAUACGAUGCUCUUUCUGUUCCUGUGUGAGCAUUUGCAGGACUCACUUGUCGCAAACUUCAUUAUAUUCCAACGUUACCAUCAUCAUUUUCAAUGCACUGAAGCUGAUAUUCAACCCUGUACACAGUUCUCUGGUUGUAAUUCACCAAUUUGUGUGGAUGAGCUGAUUGAGACACUCUUCAUUUUGUGGUGUGACAGCUGUGCAUGUCUGUCUGGAAUGUGGUUUGUCUUUCAUGUCUCUGUUGCCACUGCUGAAAUGCACCAUCCGCCUCCUCACUGCGCUCACAUCCACUGUUUGGUCUCCAUAAACUUUCAGCAUGUGUCAAUGAAUGUCAAAGGGGACCAUUUUUUCCACAUGGAGGAAUUCAGUGACACACCUUUGCUUUGUACGCACUUCCAUGUCAGAGGCCAUUUCGUCAGACUGCCCCUCUGUUGCCAUCUGUCACACAGCAACGAAAUGUAAUGGAAUAUUGGUGGGAAAUUUCAAGCUCUACUAACACGCUACCAGCAUCCACCUCUGAAGUUGUGGGCCAACACCACAAAAUAGGAGGCAUUAAUUUCAGAGCAGCAAGCUUGGUAGAAAGGUGAAUAAAUACAGAUUAGAUUUUCUGUAAUACCUUCACUGAAGGCUCAGAUGAGUUUGAGUCAUAGAUCAAAGCAACAUGAUCAUCUGAAGUGGUCUCUUAUUUGAGAAAGGCCAAACCUUGCACACAAAAUUCCUUUUUGCUUGCUUCCCUCCAACGCUGUAUAUUUAUCAUGGAUAGAUUAUCACUGAGUGAUCACGUUACUUUCUGGUAUCUUAUGACUGUGGUUCAACUUCAGAAACAAAAAAGAGCAAAGGAAAGCUGCCAAAUCCAUUUGCUUUAUGUGACUCCCCACUUCAGACACACAAGGAAAGGCCUUACCUUUUUAACCUGUGCAGCUGAUGCUUGGAUUUUCUUUUCAUAUAUAUGCUCCAAAAGUAAACCAUGGACUUGAGAGGAAACGAGCUUAAUAUGCCAUGUGCUUCCUAUUUGUUGAAGGUAUCAGGGCUAGAGCUCCCUUGGCAUGCUAAAACAUGAACGUUUUUACAGCGUAGCAGAUUAUGGAAGCUGCUCUUGAUAAAUUCCAGUAACAGCAUUUUACAUUCCUCAUGCACCUUUCUGUGAAUGACAGAUUGCCACAUUAAGUCUCUAAAGAAGUGCUUGACAAGGGUGGUUCAGCAAAAGAAGAAAAUGGACCAUGUGUCUGACUCGGUAACUCUACAUUUCUUAACACAUUUACACGGGACUGCAGUGUUGUUCUCUCCUGUGUGCCAGAGCAUGAGAAAACUUCAGCGUGAGACACUCCUUCACACCACCAGGUCCUCUGCUGAAAUGCACAUGAAAACAAACAUAUGGAUGUGUUUACCUCUCAUAAAAGUAUAGGAAAAAGAAUAAUUUCACUGGAAUUUUUUCUUCUUGGCUGGGAGGUAGAGGAAAAGGGACCAUGGCAGAUACACAAGCUGUAGAAGAUGUGCUUGUUGGGAAGAAGGUUGUAGAGAUUAAACAGCCAGCCCAGUAAGUACUAGAAGCCUUUAUGCUGCAAGUAGAGCAACCAGGCUAAUAUACUGUUUCAUGCUGUAUUCUGAAGGUGCUUUUUGGAAGAAGUCAGUUCAAAAUGUUGCCCAGUAUGACUCUGCCUGGCACAGAAAUCACUGCUGGUUCUAUCCAUUCAGUGGAACUGAGGGGAACAAAGUUUGAAGACAUAAGUAUAUGAUUGUAUGUGAUUGUCUACAUACUUAAAAUGUGUAGAAUUAGCUGUUAAGUGCACUCUAAAUAUGGCACAUAAAUUCACCUAUAAAUACUAGAAGCACUGUGCCUGAUUUAGAAACAUUAACUGAAGAAUUUCUCAAAUGCAAAUUUUAAUUUCUUUCAGAUCUGUUUUGUGGUUUCUUCUCCAGCAUUCAAGGUGGAUGCAUGAGAUUCCAUUUCCAGUUUUAACUUAAUGGCUUCCCUUAAGAAAGAGGAGGAAAAAAAGUUAUAUGAAUUAAACAUUACAUAUGAUGUGGCAAAGCACUUUCAGGAAUUCAAUAAGGAAGAGCAGAAAAAACUGUUGCUCAGAGUUAGUAGCAGCAGUGAAUAGCGCUGUUACCAUCUAAAAGCUCACACUUUUCAGUCAGACUUGGCUGGUGAAAUGUAGAAGCUUAAUGUGGAUUACACUUUUUAAAUCUUUCAACGUUAGAAAAAUAGAAGAGAUGUAGUGCGUUUUCAUUUCAGCGUACUUUGAAUGCAAUCUCAAGAUAAAUGUGAGAGACGGAUUGUGUUUGUACCCGUGCCAAACAUUGUCGUUAGAUAUUGCUGUUUUGUUUCAUCAGCCAGAUGAAUUUACACAGGGACAUCGAUCAGGUACCUACAUUUAAAAGAGCGCACUGUCAAAUUAGUGGAUAGAAAGAGCACAUUAGGAGAGAGAAAUUAUCUGGUGAAAGAUUUAAAGACUGACUCACUUAUGUUUUGUUUCAUUAAAUGUGGGGUAGUCCCCGUUCAUUUUCCAUUUAGCAUGAACAUUCAUAGACUCCAUUAAAAUACCAUUUUUGUAACGAACUAGCUGACUUGGGACAUACAUGAUCCUCAUUGGAAAAAACACAGCUCCCCUUCUGACAGGUUCUAGAUCACUCCAAAAUCUGGGGCCCAAGACGGGCAACCCUACUGGCUGUCUUGAGGAGACACCUGCGUCCUCCUGUAAAAUAUAUGUGUAUAGGGCAUAUAUUUUAUGGCCUGCAGGGGCUGGUGGUCUCCAUAGGGAUGGGGAGAGGUUGGGAUGGGAUGUGGUUGUAUGCACUCCACAAAAGGUCUCAGAAUAUGUUCUCAAGAGGCAAACACACACAAGCACAAAACAAACAAACAAAAAGACAAGCAACAAAAUAAAUCAAGCAAAUUGAAACCAAAUACAUCCAUGACUAGCCUAUGCCAUAAAUCCCUCUUUUGUGCUACUUUCCAGUCAGCUCCAUUACACAAUGGAUUUAAUUCCACAAUGAUUUAAUUACACAAUGAUUUAAUUCAAACAUUUUAUGGCAGAGAUGUAUUUUAGCUAAAAUGAUAUUUUUACUCAGUGUGGGGCGGCAGGGGGUUGGAUAAAAUGGACUACUUUACCAAUGAAAUGAAGAGCUACAGAAUGGUAAGAGACAGAUACAGGGAGUGUAGGUGUGGUACCAAAUCCCUACCUCACUGUUUCAAUACCUGCGCUUAGUGCCUGGAUUGCCUUACAUUCAGCUCUGUAACAGCCCCACAACAUAUCAGAGCUUCCUGCGAAGGUUUUCACUCUUCAUAUCCAAUAAGACAUUUAGAUUAAUGCAUGCAAAAUGUUGCCCUAGGAUUUGAUAGUGAAAAGAGCCAAAACCCAAAUCUUCUUUUUUUCCCCAGAAAUAGUCAUCCAUCAUUAAAAUUAUUAGAGAGCAAAUGGCUGAAAUGUAUCAUUACAAAAUAGAAGUAUUUCCUUUGAUUGUUUAAAAAUCUCUUAUUUAAUUUGAUUCAUACAUAUUUUUUUCCCUUUUACAGUUUAGAACACUGCAUCUUACCAUAUGUGAAAUGUUUCUUUGAGGUGUCAAAGUGACUUGUCAUGGGUUUGGAAUGAGAACUAAAUUAAAUGUCCAUACUUUAACAUACUUAUAUAAAUAACGAGAUAUUCCAGUAUAAACCAUUCAUUUGGCAGUCAUUUCUACAUCAGCAACUACAAAGUGCUAUAGAUUUCCUGCCUAACUUGACACAUGCAAAGAAAAUCAGGAAGGAAAAUGUGUGUGUACGCAUAUAUUUUAUAGAAAAAGACAGCCUCUUGUAUUCUAUUGUCAUUAAAGUAUUUCUAGCUUUUCUGGAAAUAGUGCAAGAGGUUUAACAAAAUGCUCUGCAUUCACAGCAGAAUGCUGGAGCAUUAAGUUGCUUCCAACUGCACUCCAAAACUUGUUUCCAUAAUUUAGAAACAGAGAGGGUAGAAAUGGAUAACAAAGUCAUUAAUGAGCUCCAAGAAUGAUUUAUUAUGGGUGAUAUAGCGUCUUUGCUUUUAAGAAAAAUACAUUAAAUAAAAAUUCUUCAUAAAAUAAAAAUUCUUUCCUAUUGAACAUUGUGCAGAAUUUGCUUUAUUAGUGUAUUAUAUCACCACAUUGCCUGGUCUGGCAUUUCUCAUACAAAUAAUGUUUCAAGGUGCUAGCAAAGCUUGUGAACUACAGUGCAAACCAUGUUAGGAAUACUGUUUGUACAGAAACACAACAGUAGCAAAGAUCCUUCUGCAGGGGUUCUGGAGAUAGUUAACACUGGAGGAUCCUUUCAUCUUGCAUCUGCUGCACAAACUUGCAUCACACUCGGCUAACAAUAAUAAAAAAUGAUAACUGAUAUUUAGUUCCAGUCUUUCCAUCUGCCUGACUUCUUUAUGCCAGUUUUUAGGUUGCCAGUCUUUCUCAUGCACACGUCUAUGCACACAUACUCUGAAAGCAUCGGUGGUCAAUGAACAGUGUCGUCUAGGUGGAAACAUCAUAUAGCUAUAAAACAACAUCCAGAUUUGCUG